AACAUAGUCAUCGUCAUCCACAACUUCAUUCACUUGAUCUGCAAAACGAUAUUGACCUGAGAUAUAGAGCUUCUGUCAGUCGUGAUGAAAAUGUUGGACCAAAAUUAUAUUUAUACCGAUCCGGAGAAGCCAAAAAAGUCAAUAUUACCAAAAAUUGAAUAUCAAUAAAAUAACUUACCAUAA